rnacentral:rRNA from 1 species
AGCUCCAAUAGCGUAUAUUAAAGUUGUUGCAGUUAGAACGCUCGUAGUCGGAUUUCGGGGCGGGCCGACCGGUCUGCCGAUGGGUACGCACUGGUCGGCGCGUCCUUCCUUCCGGAGACUGUUCCUACUCUUAACUGAGCGGGAAUUGUAUACGGAUCGUUUACUUUGAAAAAAUCAGAGUGUUUCAAGCAGGCAGCUCGCUCUUGCAUGGAUUAGCAUGGGAUAAUGAAAUAGGACUUUGGUG